rnacentral:rRNA from 1 species
GAUGAACGCUAGCGGCAGGCCUAAUACAUGCAAGUCGGACGGGAUGCCGGAGCUUGCUUCUGAUGAGAGUGGCGCACGGGUGCGUAACACGUAUGUAACCUACCUUUAUCAGGGGGAUAGCCUCUCGAAAGAGAGAUUAAGAUCGCAUAAAAUCACAGCACAGCAUUGUGGAAUGAUCAAAUAUUUAUAGGGUAAAGAUGGGAAUGCGGAACAUUAGCUAGAUGGCGGGGUAACGGCCCACCAUGGCGACGAAGGUGAGGGGGUCGGAGAGGAUGGCCCCCCACACUGGUACUGGGACCCUGGCCACUCUCCUACGGCCGGCAGUCGUAAGGAAUACUGCACAGUGGGCGAUAGCCUGAUGCAGCCAAGCCUGAUGCAGGAAGGCGGCCCUAGGGAUGGUAGCCUUCUUUUAGUCAACAACAAUCCCAGAUACCGGUAUCUGGGUGACGGUACUGUAAGAAUAAGCAUCGGCUAACUCCGUG